AUGGCGACCGGCGCACGGGUGAGUAACACGUAUCCAACCUGCCGAUAACUCGGGGAUAGCCUUUCGAAAGAAAGAUUAAUACCCGAUGGUAUAAUCAGACCGCAUGGUUUGAUUAUUAAAGAAUUUCGGUUAUCGAUGAGGAUGCGUUCCAUUAGGCAGUUGGUGAGGUAACGGCUCACCAAACCUUCGAUGGAUAGGGGUUCUGAGAGGAAGGUCCCCCACAUUGGAACUGAGACACGGUCCAA
rnacentral:rRNA from 1 species